GGCCGGGUAGCUCAAUGGUAGAGCCGCGGCUUCUAAGCCGUAGCGUGGUGGUUCGACCCCAUCCCCGGCCA
rnacentral:tRNA from 1 species